ACGCUCGACACCUACGGGGGCAGCAGUCGGGAAUAUUGCGCAAUGGAGGAAACUCUGACGCAGUGACGCCGCGUGCAGGAAGAAGGUUUUCGGAUUGUAAACUGCUUUAGACAGGGAAGAAAGAAAUGACAGUACCUGUAGAAUAAGCUCCGGCUAACUACGUGCCAACAGCCGCGGUAAUCUGAGCGGGCUGGCAAGGC
rnacentral:rRNA from 1 species